rnacentral:lncRNA from 1 species
AGGGCUGCCUGCGGCAUAUGGAAGUUCCCAGGCUAGGGGUCGAAUUGGAGCUGUAGCCUUGGUCUAUGCCACAGCCACAGCAAUGCAAAUCCAAGCCACAUCUGUGACCUACACCACAGCUCACAGCAAUGCCAGAUCCUGAACCCACUGAGUGAGGUCAGGGACUGAAUGUGCAUCCUCAUGGAUCCUAGAUGGGUUCAUUACCACUGAACCAUGGUGGGAACGCCCUGCCCAUUUUUCAAUUGGGUUGUUUGGUUUUUUGUUUUUUGGUUGUUGAGCUGCAUGAGUUAUAAAUAUACAUAUUUAUAUUUAUACAGAUAUAAAUCUAAAUCCCGAAAUUUAUAUGGAACCAUAAAAGACCCAGAAUUGUCAAAACAAUCCUGAAGAGAAAAAAACAGGCAAGAGGUACAACCCUUCCAGGCUUCAGACAUUACUACAAUGCUACAAUAAUCAAAACAGUGUGGUAUUGGUACAAAAACAGACAUAUGGGUCAAUGGGACUGAAUCGAGAGCCCAGAAAUAAACCCAAUAGCUAUGGUCAAAGCUUCAACAGAGGAGCUUUGACAAAGGAGGCAAGAAUAUAAAAUGGAAAAAGACAGUCUCUUCAGCAAGUGGUGCUGGGAAAACUGGACAACUGCAUGAAAAUCAAUGAAACUAGAACACCACCCUACAUCAUGCACAAAAAUAAACUCAAAAUGGCUUAAAGACUUUAAUGUAAGACAUAAUACCAUAAAACUCCUAGAAGAGAACAUAGGAAACCACAAAAACAAAAUGAAAAGACAAUCUACAGAAUGGAAGAAAAUGUUUGCAAAUGAUACAACCAGGCUUAAUCUCCAAAAUAGCUUCCUAAUUAUACUUUGCUUAGGUGGAUAUUAAAACAUUGUGUAUUUUCUGAGCUUCCUUUGAUAGGGAGGAAGAACUGGGAAGUUUAAGGCUGAGAUGGCCUGGAAUUUAAAAUUUUCUACAUGUACAAACCACAAGUUCCCAUGUCUUAACUGCUUCUAAUCAAUCCUAAGCAUAAUUGCUCAUCAGAAUCCAUAAAGUAGUUAACAUGAACCUUGAUUAUUUCUACACAGAUAGUUGAAAGUUGACUAAUGCGUCGGAAGAACAAAAUCUACACAGCAGCUGAUGCCUCUCCUCAAAGAGCACACAGGAAACCCACACCAGAAACCCGGAGAGCCAUCUCCAAGCUCAGGCCCUGUGUAGAGACAUCCAUUAAAAUCUCGAGAAUGGCAAUAGGUGAGCUACAUUUGCAUUCUGUAUCUCGUCUCACAUGAGUCAUCCUCAACUACUUUCCCUCGCUCUCCAACAUGUAGCAUCUAGUAAAUGAAGAGACGUAUGGCCGUGGAUGACCUUAGCCACAGGCAGGAAAAUCAACCAGCAACCAGCACAUAUUUCAUUUAUUAAAAGACAUACUGGCAAACCAUCUACAAUCCAAAUUUGUAUCAGAAAUAAGGUAGAGCAGAUGUGGGAGUGGGGGGGAGGCCCGCACCCGUUCUGUUCUAUAUUUUCAAUGCUUUAUGCUUCACCACGUCGUUGCAGCUGAAACUUGAGUUAUUUUAAAGUCACGGUGGGGAAGCCCUACAGAAAGCCCCACAGCACCUUCUGUGACUCACCUGUCUCUUUGGUAUUCUUUAUCAUUUGAUCCUCUACUAGCCCCACUUACGUUGCUUUUAGCAAGCACCCUCCCCCCACCCCAAGGCUGCUCUUACAAACAGGCAGCUGCUGCAAGGGUGUCUUCUUAAAAGGCUCCAUAAAUGAAUAAGUAAAGACCAUGGCUGUUCCAGUGGCCUGUUUUGGCUCCAUGAUCCACUCCCAGCUGGCAAACUCCCCAGAAAGUAACCACUAGAAGAACAAUCUGUUUGACGUGAGGCUCCCUAUUCAGCUUAGGAGGAAGCUUCAGCCAUCACAAUCUCUUGAGGACAAUAAUGUGAAAGCCCCCCUUUCUUUAUUGUUAUUAUUAUUGUCGUUUUGGCCAGGGCCCUCAGGAAGCUCAGUUAUUCCAAAUUGCUGAUUCUGAAAUGUUAUAUUCGAUACAUGUACAGGCUUUGAAAAGACAUAACAUUCCUUUGAUUCAGUGAAAUAUCUCAUUGAAGAUAUUUUAGGAGAAAAUACUCAGAAAAGCAAGCCAUCGAGUUCAGCCGAGAAAAGGAAGUUGUUCCAAGAGAGAUUAGCUGCUCAUUAAUCCUCAACCACUAAUCUGAGGUCGCGUGUGUGUGUGUGUGUGUGUGAGAGAGAGAGAGAGAGAGAGAGAGAGAGAGAGAGAGAGAGAGAGAGAGAGAGAAGAAAUUAAUAAAAAAGUAAUUGAAGAAAAAAAUUUCCACAGAUGACUGGCUAUAGAACAUAGGCUCUAAACUGAGAAUGCCUCAGUUUCCCACAGGGUGCCAAGAAAAAUUUUAUCUCCUUUUUAAAAGCAGUGGCAAGAGGACCCAGGAACAGAGAAAGAGAUGAAAACCCUGAACUUCUCUCUACAAAUAGCCAACAACGGUCGGGCUCCAAGAAGUCAGGAACCGGUAACUAGUUUGGCUCUGAGAAGUCCAAAGAAACCAAAGUUCUACUUUCCUCCCUGCUGCCUUGGUUCUGCUUAAGUCCUGUGUUUAAAUUCAGCUGUUCACUGACCUCAACACUCAAGGAUACACUGGGCCCAGCGAGCUCCCUGGAAAGGCCCAGCCAAGAUCUCUGUUUGUACGAAAGGGGUUCUCGGUGCCCUAGGGUGUGUUCCCUUGGCCCCUUCCCUCCUUAACCCUUCCAGCCCUGGGGAGUAUUCUCUAGGUCAGAGUUUGCAGACAUCACCCCAAGGCAAGAUCCAGGCUUUACUGAAGCCUAAAAUGCCUCCAUUCAGAACUAACCUGAAGGGACAAAGCUGGGCUGGGCGGCUGCUUCUCCCUGGUCCUGUGAAGCCGGGGAACCUAUGUCCGUUCUCUUUCAAGUAGCAUGUUACUAUGGCGUUCAGUUCAAGCCAAGGCUCUUAUGGUUUCAAAUUAUUUUUGAUCCGACUAUGUAAUUAAGACAGGUUCACCUCUGUACAUCAACAGCCAUUAUACUUCAUUGCAAUUGUUCCUACUUGGCUUGAGGGCAUAGUCGGUGAGCAAGACCAGUGCAUCUUAAGACAGAGGGCAAAUAAUUCUGGAAGACUUCAGAAACUCUUAGAAUCUAUGUAUCUACAAUGUGCCCUUCUGGCUGGGCCUUGGGAAAGGUCUUAAGCACCUAGCAUCCUAGAGUUAUUCAGACGUGAAUUCCGAGCAAAGGGCCACUAUUCAAAGCGGUCCAUUCCUGUUUACAAAGACGAUGCAGAUUAUUUUGUGGUAGAUGGGUGUUUCAGUAUUCUGUAAGUGCUCAUUAAAUGCAGGCAGUUUAGCUGAGCUGUAAUGGCACUUAAUUCUGGAAAGUAAAGCAAAAGUGUGUGCCUGACCACUUUUCUCAAUAGGCACUAGGAUAAAACAGAGCAUCAAAAGGUGCUAUUUUUAGACAAAACAAGCAAUCUACCGUGAAGAAAGAAAAAAAAGCAAGGAGCAAUAACACCACUAACUAAAAUGAGGGCUGCUACACAACCGGGGACACAACAUCAGCAGUUUCCCAGGUGAUCAAGUACAGAGGAACCCCAUUCCAGGUAUACAAACGGGGAAUCUCCCUCUCAUUCUCUCUGUACCCCCCCCUCAACACACACGGGAAUCCUACUGAGAAGAGGAUUAGAUGACACAUGACAACUUAAAGGCUGGCUAUAGGUAGAUAGAUCAUGGGCUAUUCUCACUGGCACUCUUUAGCCAGUGUCCUUUUAUUUUAACAUAUAUCCUGUCUCUAGAAGUUUCGAUAGGGAGUUUUGGUUCUUUGCUUUAAUUUAAUUCCCUGGCAUUUCCACUGUAUUUCUUUUCUUUUCUUUCGCUUUUUAGGAUGGCAGGUGUGGCAUAUGGAGGUUCCCAAGCUAGGGGUCAAAUCAGAGCUACAGCCGCUGGCCUACACCACAGCCACAGCAACGCCAGAUCCAAGCCGUGUCUGCAGCCUACACCACAGCUCACGGCAAUGCCGGAUCCUUAACCCACUGAGCGAGGCCAGGGAUCGAACCUGCAUCCUCAUGGAUCCUAGUUGGGUUUGCUACCGCUGAGCCACAAUGGGAACUCCCUACACUGUAUUUCUUAACCUGACCAUCCACAUUUUCAAAUCAAAAUGUUCAAAUGCUGAAUGACUGCAGUCCAGCCUCCCUAAACUUCCCAAGAAGAGCCUGAGUGCUCAUCUCAGGUACCUCAUAAACAGCAUCAAUACAAAUCCAGUAUCUGAGAGUUUUUUCCCCCAAGUAUGAUACACGGCCUAUUUGCAUUUCUGAGAGAAAAAAAAAUGUGUUUUUAUUGUUAGAAUCUAGUCAUAUUCCAUUUUCUGCUAAUGAGAAAAUUGGUGAGAAAGCUACACGCUCCUAAGCUAUGACCUAAAAAAUGUGUAGAAAGAGAAUAUCUGAAUAAUAAACGUUAGUAAAAAGCACUUAAAUUAAGUGGAAAAGUUGGGACAUGCCAAAAUGUACUAGAAUGAAAGUUGGUUGGGAGUUUCCUGGUGGCCUAGUGGUUAAGGAUCUGCCAUUGUCAUUGCUAUGGUGUGGGUUCGAUCCCUGGCCUGGGAAAUUGCAUGUGCCAUGACUUUGGCAAAACAAAACAAAACAAACCCAAAACAGGACUGGUUUGGAAUCAGAAGAGUUGAGUUCAACUUCCAAUUCUGCCACUUAUUAACUGUGUGUCCUCUGACAAAUCACUUGUCUCUCUGAACAGCAGUGUCAUCAUCUACGAUGAUGUAAUAAACCCUUGGCCAUCUAGCAAGGUGGCUGCAGGAAUCAAACAAGGAAAUGGACACAGAAACACUACACAUUUGAAAGUGUUAGACAUAUAGGGGAGGGGGGUGGACUGGGAGUUUGGGGUUUGUAGAUGCAAGCUGUUGCCUUUGGAGUGGAUAAGCAAUGAGAUCCUGCUGCAUCACACAGGAACCUCUAUCUAGUCACGUGUGAUGGAACAGGAUGGAGGAUAAUGUGAGGAAAAGAAUGUAUAUAUCCGUGUGUGACCGGGUCACUUUGCUGUACAGUAGAAAAUUGACAGAACACUGUAAGUCAACUCCAAUGAAGAAAAAUUAAAACAAUAGUGUUAGGCGCAUUAUCAAGUACUAUUAUUAUACAUAAGUGGGAUACAUAAUUUGUGAGGCAAAACCCGUUAUGAACUAUUCCACUUCCUCGCACUUUUCCAAGGAUGCAAGCGUCCUGAUCUAGACAUGCAGAUUGCAUAUAUUUAGGCAUUUAGGUGUUUCACAAAAACAACACUGAAGAAACAGAAAACAACCUCGAAAGACCAUUACUGUUCAGCCAUUCAAAUAAUGAUACAGACGAAUCUUAAUAUAUGAGGGAAUCUCUAGAUAGGGUGGGGGAGAGAGAGGGCUGGACAAAGAGCGAGGGGGAGGGAGCAGCCCAAUUAGAAGGUUCGAAUUCUGUUGCCCCUAUGAGAGGUACAAGGACACGUCAACAAUGACUGAAGACACUUAUCAGGGCUGAACUUCUUACGAGCAGACCAGCGGAAUGUUCACGAAGCACUGGACUGGUGGGGUAGACUCCGGUGAAGUGGCUUUGAAAUCGACUUCGGAUCGACCUUUGCCAUGCGGUGGUUGCCUGUGCCCUCUGUGUG